UGCUGGACCGUUGCCUUGCCUUGGUAAUGGACUGGAUGAGAUCAGGUAUGUCGCUUGGGGGCACGUCUGGAUCCCCUGCUAUUGCCUGAGACUCAGGUGACCUCAGUGGCCUGCAGCUUCAGGAGGUGGCCUGUCGGUGCCACAAUCUGAACAGGAGAGCCUGACUUCUGUAGUCUGUGCUCUGGUAGCCUCUAGGUUAGAUUGCUGCAACAUGUUAAAUGUGGGGCUGCCUUUGAAGAUGGUUCGGAAACUCCACACAAUUAUUAUGUUUUCUGAGAAAAAAGCUGGGUGGUGGUGAAGCCCAGAAUUCAAGAGGGUAGAGAUGGGGGUCUUUUAUUAUGGCAGACAGGUCUAGUUUUUUUAUCAUAGUCAGUUAUUUUCUCACAGCAAUUUGCAGGAAAAAUUAGCAACUUUCCCAUGCGGAUCUAUGCCCUCCUGAAUGCAAGAAAUUGAGAGAUCUCCAUUGUAUCUCCAAAAAUCCAUUGCGGGGGAGGGGGGGACAAAGGCCAACCCCACACUGACAAAAUGACCAUUGGGAUAACAAGAAAGGUCCUUCUGGGUGGGGACUGCUCCUAACUUUGAAACACCUUUUCUAGAGAAGUUAGACUGGCUCCCUCCUUGUUGCCUCUCAGUCGGCAAGUGAAGACUUUCUUGUUCCAACAGGCUUUUGGGAACCAGCUGCUUUUAAUGAAAGGGCUGGUCCCACGCUGUUUCUAUUGUAAUCAUCUGUAUGUUUUAAAUAGAUUUAUACAUACAUAUGGAGUGAGAGUGUGUGUGUGAUUGUUUUUUAAUUAUUAUUUUUCCAUGUUUUUUACUGUUCUUAGUUUUUCUGUAAGCUGCCUGGAAUCCCAGUCAGGAAAAGGGCAGGCUCAAACAAACAAACAAACAAACAAAUAAUGGGGGGCCUAUUCUAUUUCUCCUUCACCCUUUCCCCUAUUCAAGUCAAUGAGAAAAGAGGCUUUUAUCCCCGAAAACUUGUUGAAUGGUAAUGCUGGCCCUUGUGGCAGAUUCACACUAGUUCUCAUUCCAAAAUUUGUCAUGUUUUAGUCCCUUAAAAGAGGCGACUGCAUGCCUGCCAAUUUCAUUCAAUUUUGUAAAAAUGUGGAUGGAGCUACAGCCAUUUUUAGAUUCCCCAUUACUGUCAUACCUCGGAAGUCAAACGGAAUCUGUUCCAGAGGUCCAUUCGACCUCCAAAGCUUCUGAUUGGCUGCAGGAAGUGCUUGACUUUUGGCUUCUGAAAAUCGUUCGAAAAACAGAACACUCACUUCCAGGUUUUGAUCGUUUGGGAGCCAAGGCAUUUGAGAUCCAAGGUAUGACUGUAUAGAAAAUGGGAAUAAGCUUUGUUUUUAAUUGAUCUAAUCUGGUCCCAAAUAACAAGCCAAACUGGAAAGACACAGAACAGCUCUUAAGAAAUUCCGCUGCUUUCUAAAGGUACAGAUAAAAGCCUACUGUUGUGGCCAGUGCACUACUAACCAGUAUUUCUAUCUUUACAAAAUUUGGAAUGGCUUCGUAGAUAUGCUCUCUGUAACAUUUUGUUUUGCCCUGAGCAGAGAAGAACAUAGCAUUCAUGUAUGUAAAUGAAAUGACAUAGUUGUGGACUACAAAGACUGAAAACGUAAGUGCAAGGGAAAUAACUGUGUAAACAGAUGGCCAUCACCUUAGUAGUUAUUAAGGAAUGAAGAUGAGUGGGAUCUGAUUUCAAAGAAGAGGAAAUUACAAGGAAGAUGGUCCUGAAGUGCUUUAUAAAAGGUAAGAUGCACUUAAAAGCCUGAGCCAAAGGGAGAUUCAAUCAACCAACACAGAAAAACAACAAUAGUGUCUCAGAACAGAAUUUCAUAUCCUGUAGAGUAGAUACACAAUCAAGUACAUUUUUUAAAAAGUUUUCUAUCACUUUGAUUUAUUUGACUAGUAAGUUGAAUGUGCAGCCCGAUUCUAUGCAUAUUUGCUCAGAAAUAAAUAUCCACUGCAUUCAGUGGACUUUCUGUCAAGCACAUGGGCACAAAAUUAAAGCCUUACUUUGUUUUAAAAAACUAUUGCAGUGCUUGUGAAUCCUCGUAAGGU